rnacentral:rRNA from 1 species
AUUGAACGCUGGCGGUAGGCUUAACACAUGCAAGUCGAGCGGAGAUGAGGUGCUUGCACCUUAUCUUAGCGGCGGACGGGUGAGUAAUGCUUAGGAAUCUGCCUAUUAGUGGGGGACAACAUUCCGAAAGGAAUGCUAAUACCGCAUACGUCCUACGGGAGAAAGCAGGGGAUCUUCGGACCUUGCGCUAAUAGAUGAGCCUAAGUCGGAUUAGCUAGUUGGUGGGGUAAAGGCCUACCAAGGCGACGGUCUGUAGCGGGUCUGAGAGGAUGAUCCGCCACACUGGGACUGAGACACGGCCCAGACUCCUACGGGAGGCAGCAGUGGGGAAUAUUGGACAAUGGGCGGAAGCCUGAUCCAGCCAUGCCGCGUGUGUGAAGAAGGCCUUUUGGUUGUAAAGCACUUUAAGCGAGGAGGAGGCUACCUAGAUUAAUACUCUGGGAUAGUGGACGUUACUCGCAGAAUAAGCACCGGCUAACUCUGUGCCAGCAGCCGCCGUAAAAC